rnacentral:rRNA from 1 species
UACAGAGGUCUCAAGCGUUGUUCGGAUUCAUUGGGCGUAAAGGGUGCGUAGGCGGCGCGGUAAGUCGGGUGUGAAAUCUCGGAGCUUAACUCCGAAACUGCAUUCGAUACUGCCGUGCUUGAGGACUGGAGAGGAGACUGGAAUUUACGGUGUAGCGGUGAAAUGCGUAGAUAUCGUAAGGAAGACCAGUGGCGAAGGCGGGUCUCUGGACAGUUCCUGACACUGAGACACGAAGGCCCAGGGGGAGCAAACGGGG